CAUGACUGUACACAGUGUCCUGGUAGACACUGCCAGUGUAAUGGUGAUGUGUAACCAAGUCCGCCAUGACUGUACACAGUGUCCUGGUAAACACUGCCAGUGUAAUGGUGACGUGUAACCAGGUCCACCAUGACUGUACACAGUGUCCUGGUAAACAUUGCCAGUGUAAUGGUGACGUGUAACCAGGUCCGCAUGACUGUACACUGGUUGAGGUGUUGAGUACAGUUGGAGGUGAGAGCGUUAUUGUUUAUCUGUCAGUGUUUGUGUGUAAUUGGAACUGUUACAUACUCACCAAAUUAAUUACUUGACACUUGUUCAAUUGAAUGGACGUAGUAUGUGCAUUUUUAGGAAAGCAGAUCAUCCAGGUAUCAAUACAGAAAAUGAAAAGUGGAUUCAGCUUCAUUUGGGAAAAAUAAUGCAUGACUUACCAUGACCCCCAACAUGAACUCCUUGGGAGACUGUGAUUGCAACACGACAUCUCCUCAUACACAGGAGAACAUGGCAGAACACACUAUCCCAAAGUGAUCACCAUUGGUAAACGAGUGCUUGUCCAGUCUUGCAAGGUCUGGGAUUGAGUCAUCUGCUGUUGUACUCAUCUUCCCACCUCAUCAAUAAUGUGUUCAAUCAGAUUAAGGCUAGGGGAACGAGAAGCCUGGUCUAUCACAUCAAGUUGCAUGUCAGAACUCCAGGAUGGAGUGUAGGGUUGUCAUGUUGAAAUGGCUGUCCAGGACCUUGUAGCUGGAUGAUAGCUGGGGUCAAAACUUGCUCCCGAUACUGUCUGUUGCCACAAUCAAGAGAGAUCGACCGCUAUCACAAAACUUGCUCCCGAUACUGUCUGUUGCCACAAUCAAGAGAGAUUGACCGCUAUCACAAAACUUGCUCCUGAUACUGUCUCUUGUCACAAUCAAGAGAGAUCGACAGCUAUCACAAAGUGCUCUCCAAUACGUUGAUCACAAUGCACUUGUGUCUGGAUAGGUCAUGUGUAUGGUCGUCUAGCUCCGAUACCUGCAGUGCACUGCCGAUUCCUGAUGAUCUGUGCUCACACUCUACCUCUGAACAACUGUCUGCUUGUUGAGGCUGCAGAGAUGACAUAACCUGAUACAGCGCCCACAGUCUUGAGGGACAUAACCUGAUACAGCGCCCACAGUCUUGAGGAACCUGCAGUGGUGCUGGUUCUCCGACUGUGUAUUGUUUGGUGACUACUGCCUUGGACUUUUUGCAACUGCAGUAACAGCAUUAAGUCUGCACAUGGCACGCUCAUAUUACUCAUGUGUGAUUAGCAGCAUCCUCCCUUUUUUAUUAAACUUGCAAUUUUGAUGCCUUUUAUUGUUUGGCAAUAUCAGUAUGCUUGCACUCCAAUGCAUGUAGGAUUGCUAAGGGGAUCAUGUGACUCUUUGCACGUGAUUGUUGUGUUUCACACUACCAAAUUUUUCAUGUCGGUUGCCAAGACCAUGUUCAAACCAAGUCAUUGCCAUGUGUAUGGCAUGACGAGAAACUCAAAAUAAUGACCACACUCACAAUUAUUAUCACAUCAUGUGGAUGUCAAGUUUCUAAUUUUGUUGAGUAUACUUGGUUUAAGCCUUAUGCAGACAUUGAAUAUUCAUGCCUUCAAGAUGGUAUUAGUACAUGUUUUUAUACUGAGUGAGUACCCUUGUGUAGUUGUGAGUAUCUCCUGACUCCAGUGACAGGAGUGUGAGGGACUGGGUGUACAUGCUGCAUGGUGGGGUUCAUGUAUUGCGGGUAGUUCCUGGCUGGGAAUCUCCCGAGGUUCAUUUGCUUUCUAGCUACACAACUCACCUGUCGACUGUAGAUGGAUACCAAGGUUACCUUGCUCAAUAAGGAAAAACCUGUUAUGUUUUCAUUGUGUAUGUUGAGUGUCUGUGAUGUUGUUAGUGCAGGUUUUAACAAGUUAUAUUGUGAUACGGAAAUGAUUGGGAGGUCAGGGAAACAAAGUUUGUGUGUCCCCUAAUUAGACACAUACAUGCUGUGUUGUUUUUUCCAUCCAGAGCAAAGUGUGCUCUUGAGUCUUCAAAAGAAGAUUAGACAAAAUUGUUAGGUUUUACUGAACUGGGGCUCAUACUGCAAGUUGAUGAUUAGAUUGAAUUUAAACUGGGAGAUCAUUCCUGGUACAGGGAAGGGUAUGGAAGGUCAGAGACCACAGCUGUGUUGCAGGUAUUAUCAUGCAUGGAUUGUGCGGGGUGGGGGUGGAUGUUUGGUGGGAAUUGAUAGUUGUGUCUGGGUGGGGUUGAGAUGGGUGACUUGGUCGGGUUUAGUUGGGUGGGGAUAAAUGUUAUAGUUUGGGUGAGAUGGGAGGUGGGGGGAAGGUGGAUAUCUUCAUGGUGUAGCUGUGUCAGUUGUUAUGUGAUGCUAAUUGAAAAGGGUCAACUUUCAGUUGGAUUUCUUCAUUAAUCAUUGCUGUAAAGACAACACAGUGCUGCUAGGAGAUAUGCAUCUUGUUCACGUGUUCAGACAUGUGUUAUUGGAGUCACCAGGUGUGUGUGUUAACAGAGGGUAUAUUGUACCCUGCCUGGCACAGUGUUACUGGAGUCACCAGGUGUGUGUGUUAACAGAGGGUAUAUUGUAUCAUGCCUGGCACAGUGUUACUGGAGUCACCAGGUGUGCGUGUUAACAGAGGGUAUAUUGUACCCUGCCUGGCACAGUGUUAUUGGAGUCACCAGGUGUGUGUGUUAACAGAAGGUAUAUUGUAUCCUGCCUGGCACAGUAUUACUGGAGUCACCAGGUGUGUGUGUCAACAGAGGGUAUAUUGUAUCCUGCCUGGCACAGUGUUACUGGAGUCACCAGGGCGUGUGUGUCAACAGAGGGUAUAUUGUACCCUGCCUGGCACAGUGUUACUGGAGUCACCAGGGUGUGUGUGUUAACAGAGGGUAUAUUGUACCCUGCCUGGCACAGUGUUACUGGAGUCACCAGGUGUGUGUGUUAACAGAGGGUAUAUUGUACCCUGCCUGGCACAGUGUUACUGGAGUCACCAGGUGUGUGUGUUAACAGA